rnacentral:lncRNA from 1 species
GUUAAACGGCGAAUAGGGCCCUGAGCAGACCGUGCCUUUAGUCCGGGGAAGCUCCGGGUUUAGGUGGGUCUCUCGGUUGGGCUUUCCCCCACCAAGGACCCCUUUUUCCCCUGCAGAAGCCACGUUUGCAGCACCACAUCCCCCGGAUGACCGUGCCCGCUGACUCACCGGAGGCUUCAUAACUCGAGCCCUGGAGGAGCUAUUUGAACUGCUGUCCAGACCCCCAGCUGUGCACAGCCAUUCCAGGACCAAGUGGAUGCCAAGGUGCCUGACAGAGCUGAGUUGUGCUGGAAACACAAAACCGUCCAACCAUUCACUGAGAAAUUCUACCCAGGACCCAGGGAACCAGGUUUUCUUCCAGCUCUUCUGCAAAACAAAGAAUCUUUCAGGUCCAUUUGAAAACUAGAGACCUCAGAGUAGAGACAGAUGACUCCUGGAAUGCCCUGACCUUCCAGAGUCUUUGUGGCCACUCCUGGCCAGCUGCGAACUGUGAAAGGACAUCUAUUCAUCUUCGUUGCCUCCCACACUCUCCUUGUCUCUCCUCAUUCAGAUAUAAGUUUGCUAAAAUGGCUAAAGAUAGAGAAGUGGAUGCAUGUUCGAUUCCUGCACUCCCCGCCUACAGACCUCAGAGCCCAGGCCAUGGCAGUAUUGCAAAGGGACAACAAACCCAUGGGUCCCUCCAGAAUGGACUGUAAAUGAAAUAUGUUCUAGUGUCUUUAAAGAAUAAAAUAGAAAUUUAUUUAAAAGUGUUGCAAAAUUCAUAGUAGCUCAUGAAUAUGUAUUUCUCCAACACC